rnacentral:lncRNA from 1 species
UAAAUAUGUGUAUAUAUAAAUAUGUGUAUAUAUAAAUAUGUGUUUAUUGUUUUUAUAAUUUAUAGAAUAAAGCUAAUUUCCCUAUACUAGAACCCGAUAACUAUUCACAUGAAGAAUUACAUUAUGAUAUGCCGGCUUGGAUUGAAGAUAUGAUUAUAUUGUCAAACAAAAGUAAAGGCACUUUAGAGUCGUUAGGUUUAGAAAACCUACCAGAUUUCAACGAAUGCAAAAAGAUUAGCAAUUUUCAGGAACAAAUUCUAUGCAUAGUUGAAGCACUUGAAGACAUUAAGGACACUUACCAAAAUGCUAAAGACAUAACUUCACUAACAGCAAGAGUUUUGGCUGGAGGAAGACUAGCCGUACGGGCUUUAUCAAGACUGCAAACUUUGGCCUCAACCAUUGAUAACAAACAGCUAAUGAAAAAAAUAGGAACACCAAUGGCUACACUGAUAUUACUGCAAAGAGAAACUACAUCAGAUAGAACCAGGUGGUUAUGUGGAUCUAUUUUAACUCUGUUAACUGAUUUACCAGUAGUAUCAGACAUAGCGGAUGUAAAUACAGGGUCGUAUGGUCACGUAAACGUCAUCAUGCCCAGACAGUCUAGAAUUAGAAAUCCUGAUAGAACAAUUUUGAGGCUAAGAGAAGGUGUUUCACCUUCAGAUCUAAUAAAUGGAUAUACAUCAAGUUAAAAAAAAGAAAAAAAAAAAAAGACCUACUUUGAAAAAUAAGUAUACAUUCCUCUUUCACUUACAUAUUU